rnacentral:rRNA from 1 species
UACAGGGGGUGCAAACGUUGCUCGGAAUCAUUGGGCGUAAAGCGCACGUAGGCGGUUCGUUAUGUCGGAUGUGAAAGCCCUUGGCUUAACCGAGGAAGUGCAUCCGAAACUGGCGAGCUAGAGUACGAAAGAGGAUCGCGGAAUUCCCGGUGUAGAGGUGAAAUUCGUAGAUAUCGGGAGGAACACCGGUGGCGAAGGCGGCUUCCUGGACCGACACUGACGCUGAGGCGCGAAAGCUAGGGGAGCAAACGGG